rnacentral:rRNA from 1 species
UGGGGAAUUUUGGACAAUGGGGGAAACCCUGAUCCAGCCAUCCCGCGUGUGCGAUGAAGGCCUUCGGGUUGUAAAGCACUUUUGGCAGGAAAGAAACGUCGCGGGUUAAUACCCCGCGAAACUGACGGUACCUGCAGAAUAAGCACCGGCUAACUACGUGCCAGCAGCCGCGGUAAUACGUAGGGUGCAAGCGUUAAUCGGAAUUACUGGGCGUAAAGCGUGCGCAGGCGGUUCGGAAAGAAAGAUGUGAAUCCCAGAGCUUAACUUUGGAACUGCAUUUUUAACUACCGGGCUAGAGUGUGUCAGAGGGAGGUGGAAUUCCGCGUGUAGCAGUGAAAUGCGUAGAUAUGCGGAGGAACACCGAUGGCGAAGGCAGCCUCCUGGGAUAACACUGACGCUCAUGCACGAAAGCGUGGGGAGCAAACAGGAUUAGAUACCCUGGUAGUCCACGCCCUAAACGAUGUCAACUAGCUGUUGGGGCCUUCGGGCCUUGGUAGCGCAGCUAACGCGUGAAGUUGACCGCCUGGGGAGU